GAAAUGCGAUAAGUAAUGUGAAUUACAGAAUUCAGUGAAUCAUCGAAUCUUUGAACGCACCUUGCGCUCCUUGGUAUUCCUUGGAGCAUGCCUGUUUGAGUAUCAUGAAAUCUUCAAAGUAAAUCUUUUGUUAACUCAAUUGGUUUCUACUUUGGUAUUGGAGGUCUUUGCAGCUUCACACCUGCUCCUCUUUGUUCAUUAGCUGGAUCUCAGUGUUAUGCUUGGUUCCACUCGGCGUGAUAAGUUAUCUAUCGCUGAGGACACUGUAAAAGGUGGCCAAGGUAAAUGCAGAUGAACCGCUUCUAAUAGUCCAUUGACUUGGACAAUACUUUUAAGAUCUGAUCUCAAAUCAGGUAGGACUACCCGCUGAACUUAAGC
rnacentral:misc_RNA from 1 species